rnacentral:rRNA from 1 species
AUGCACGCUGGCGGCGUGCCUAAUACAUGCAAGUCGCGCGAACGGACGAGAAGCUUGCUUCUCUGAUGUUAGCGGCGGACGGGUGAGUAACACGUGGAUAACCUACCUAUAAGACUAGGAUAACUUCGGGAAACCGGAGCUAAUACCGGAUGAUAUUUUGAACCGCAUGGUUCAAAAGUGAAAGACGGUCUUGCUGUCACUUAUAGAUGGAUCCGCGCUGCAUUAGCUAGUUGGUAAGGUAACGGCUUACCAAGGCAACGAUGCAUAGACGACCUGAGAGGGUGAUCGGCCACACUGGAACUGAGACACGGUCCAGACUCCUACGGGAGGCAGCAGUAGGGAAUCUUCCGCAAUGGGCGAAAGCCUGACGGAGCAACGCCGCGUGAGUGAUGAAGGUCUUCGGAUCGUAAAACUCUGUUAUUAGGGAAGAACAUAUGUGUAAGUAACUGUGCACAUCUUGACGGUACCUAAUCAGAAAGCCACGGCUAACUACGUG